CAACAUGAAAAUUGUGCCAGGCAGGGUAUACCAUAUUUUGCUAGAGUAGCGAGGUUGUAACGACGACUAGCUAGGAACCAGUGGUUUGGCAUGCUAGCAUGCUAACCAAACUUAAACUGCUACCUUUGACUUCACUAUAAGUUCAUAACGUUAUCAGCUGGCCAAAUUGAUCAACGAUUAAUUCCUCUUAAUAUCCUAAAUAAACUUCACAUAUGUUUUCAGUCGUUAGAGCCUUGAGACAACCAGUGAAAUAGUUAUUCCUGUAGUAGCUAGCUAUUUAAUAGGAGAUUAACAUGGGAGUUUACAAUAAUUUUGCUAGAAUACCAUUGGGUUGAUUUACUUACUUUAUUUACAUUUUAACGGUUAACAUCCCGGCGCAGAUCAGCCACAUGAAGAAAACAGCCACUUUAGUGUCAAUUAAUCCUUUUCUAAACCUAUUCUGCUGUUUGUUGUUGUUGGUCUCCAUGAUAGCUGUAAAUACCACUGGACCACCGUUAAAAACUGUACCGAUAGCUUUGAGCUUUUUCUAUGGGACACAGACAGUACACAGACACACACAGACACACCACGGGUGCGGGGAUGGCGCUGUUGCCACUCACAGAAUUGAUUUCAGGAAAACAGCUCGUCUUAGUGACUGUAUUUCUGUUUUCAAACCAGUGAAAACGGGAUUAUUGUAAGAUUUUAUUAUUAUUAUUUUUUUUACUUUUUUUUGGUGAAGCAGUGCUUCACCUGUAGUCGUAUAGAAACCGCCACUAAACCGCCUAGUAGGAACUGUGUGUAAUGCUUUUAAUAUCUAUUUCACCACAAUUAUCAGACUGUAAAAUGAUAGGAUUUCAAAAGCAUUUGAAAAAUAACCAAGCUAAUCAUACAGUACUUAUUCUUUCUCCAAGGGGCAUUGCUGAAAUUUCUUCAUCCCGCUCUACCAAGUGUUGUCUCUGGUGCUACUGAAGGGCCAUCAACAUCGUCUUCGUCACAUGUUUAUGAGGAGGAGCAAGUGGAAGACAACAUUGCGGCGUCCACACCACUUCCCAGCAGUGGUUCAACAGAAGCAGUGCCAUCAACUCCAUCACGACUUGAGGAGGAGCAAGUGGAAGCAUCCACACCACUUCCCAGCAGUGGUUCAACAGAAGUGCCAUCAACUCCAUCUCCACUUCAUGAGGAGGACAAAGAGGAAGAUGACAUUGACAUGGCAGAGACCACCCCACCAUCCAGAACUGGGGUACCUGUAGGUAUUGCAAGCACCACAUUAAGUGAUGACCCAGGAUGUUGGCCCAGUGUCCUAACAAGCAGUAUGCGCUGUGAAAUAGUCAAAAAAGGACCUGUGCAAAUCAUGGACAUUGAAUU